UACGUAGGGCGCAAGCGUUAUCCGGAAUUAUUGGGCGUAAAGCGUGCGCAGGCGGUUUGGUAAGACAGAGGUGAAAUCCCCGGGCUCAACCUGGGAAUGGCCUUUGUGACUGCCCGGCUAGAGUGUGUCAGAGGGGGGGUAGAAUUCCACGUGUAGCAGUGAAAUGCGUAGAGAUGUGGAGGAAUACCGAUGGCGAAGGCAGCCCCCUGGGAUAACACUGACGCUCAUGCACGAAAGCGUGGGGAGCAAACAGG
rnacentral:rRNA from 1 species